UACGUAGGGUGCAAGCGUUGUCCGGAAUUAUUGGGCGUAAAGAGCUCGUAGGCGGUUUGUCGCGUCUGCUGUGAAAACUCGGGGCUUAACUCCGGGCCUGCAGCCGAUACGGGCAGGCUAGAGUUCGGUAGGGGAGACUGGAAUUCCUGGUGUAGCGGUGAAAUGCGCAGAUAUCAGGAGGAACACCGGUGGCGAAGGCAGGUCUCUGGGCCGAUACUGACGCUGAGGAGCGAAAGCGUGGGGAGCGAACAGG
rnacentral:rRNA from 1 species